GGUCGCCUCAUACAAGCUUUUGCAGGCCAUCUCCAGUUCCAUUUGGAGGUUAUUGCAAAUAUCUGCAAUGAGGGCAUGUUGGUUCCACCCUUGCACCAGGACUAGUCGAAUUAUAGGCCAAGGCCUGCAGGAUAACAGAGAAAUGCGAAGGCAGGCUUUCAUUUGAAGCAAAUGUGAUUCUUCCGGUCUUGGUAGAGUAGAUGGCUGUGGUCGGUGGUAGUAAAACGAAUGGUGGAAUUGUUGUUAUAAGUGUUUUACCUCCUUGCGGGUCUAUCUGCAGAUAACAUGUUUUGCAGUAGUCUUAUCUUGAGACCUUUGACUUGAUGCAGUAUCUGCAGAUAACAUGUUUUGUAGUAGACUUAUUUUGAAUGGCGUUGAGGCAGUACAUCA